rnacentral:rRNA from 1 species
GACGAACGCUGGCGGCGUGCUUAACACAUGCAAGUCGAACGAUGAAGCCCAGCUUGCUGGGUGGAUUAGUGGCGAACGGGUGAGUAACACGUGAGUAACCUGCCCCUGACUCUGGGAUAAGCGUUGGAAACGACGUCUAAUACUGGAUAUGACUACUGGUCGCAUGGCCUGGUGGUGGAAAGAUUUUUUGGUUGGGGAUGGACUCGCGGCCUAUCAGCUUGUCGGUGAGGUAAUGGCUCACCAAGGCGACGACGGGUAGCCGGCCUGAGAGGGUGAGCGGCCACACUGGGACUGAGACACGGCCCAGACUCCUACGGGAGGCAGCAGUGGGGAAUAUUGCACAAUGGGCGAAAGCCUGAUGCAGCAACGCCGCGUGAGGGAUGACGGCCUUCAGGUUGUAAACCUCUUUUAGUAGGGAAGAAGCGAAAGUGACGGUACCUGCAGAAAAAGCACCGGCUAACUACGUGCCAGCAGCCGCGGUAA